rnacentral:lncRNA from 1 species
CAAAAGUGCGUUUCUUUUGUUGUCACUGAUGGCAUUUUGGAUUGUGUUGCUGCUUCUUGCACCAAAUUUUGCUGCUGCUACUGCUAGAAAUCCCACUAAGGAUGCGGUUUCUGCCAGAGGAGCGCAUGGUGCAUCUUACCACUUGGAGCACAACGACAUAAACGAGCGCGGCAGACAUCCCCCACGCCCUUGAAUCCAGUGGGGCAACUCAAUGUGUUGUCAAGGUUUUAUAAAGAUAUUGACAAGCUUGCGAAAUAGACGAUACAUAAUCUGGCCACAAGUCAACAAAAAUAAAAAUUGGUUUAAGGUGUGAAUGUCUCAAGUCUGUCAGUCUCUCCUCAAAGAUCAAGAUCUAGUCAACUGCCAGUCCACAAAGGUCAAAAUGCUUGACUUAGCCAUAUGACGCAUCAAUAUAGUCUGGACUGGAGAAAAGAAGAUCAACUGGAAUGUCUCAGCCCUUUCAAUUUGGAAGGCUGUGAAGAACUUGCAAGAAAAGCAAGCUCCACUUUUUCUACUACAGGGUGAGAUAUUUAGCUAGAACUACCUGAGGAAUUUUCACAAAAUUAAUUAGAGAUUCAAUUUUUUUUUAUUUUAUGAAGCAUCAAUAUAGUCUGGACUGGAGAAACGAAGAUCAGCCCUUACAAUUUGGAAGGCUCCGAAGAACUUGCAGGAAAAGCAAGCUCCCCUUUUUCUACUACAGGGUGAGAUAUUUGGU